AACGAACGCUGGCGGCAGGCUUAACACAUGCAAGUCGAACGCCCCGCAAGGGGAGUGGCAGACGGGUGAGUAACGCGUGGGAAUCUACCUAGUUCUACGGAACAACAGUUGGAAACGACUGCUAAUACCGUAUACGCCCUACGGGGAAGAUUUAUCGGAAUUAGAUGAGCCCGCGUGAGAUUAGCUAGUUGGUGGGGUAAGUGGCCUACCAAGGCGACGAUCUCUAGCUGGUCUGAGAGGAUGAUCAGCCACACUGGGACUGAGACACGGCCCAG
rnacentral:rRNA from 1 species